CGUGAGAUGUUGGGUUAAGUCCCGCAACGAGCGCAACCCCUAUUGUUAGUUGCCAUCAUUUAGUUGGGCACUCUAGCGAGACUGCCGGUAAUAAACCGGAGGAAGGUGGGGAUGACGUCAAAUCAUCAUGCCCCUUAUGACCUGGGCUACACACGUGCUACAAUGGCUGGUACAACGAGUCGCGAGUCGGUGACGGCAAGCUAAUCUCUUAAAGCCAGUCCCAGUUCGGAUUGUAGGCUGCAACUCGCCUACA
rnacentral:rRNA from 1 species